GCUCUAAGGUGGUCUAAAGAAUAACAGCCAUAGUUGCACCACUUUGGAACUUAGAAAAGCCAAUUCUUGGGCCCCAUCCCAGACCUACUAAAAUCUCUGGGGUUCACCCAGGGGUCCUUAGCAAGCUUUCCAGGUGACUUUUCAGCAUGCCAAAACUUGAAACCUCUGCAGUGCUGAGCGACUUAUUUGCAUUUCUAAAAAGCAACAGGUGUUGCUGAUGUCCGUGGAAGGCAGAUCAGCCUUUAAGUAGCACCUCUGAAAUUCUCUGUUCCCUGAGAUGUUGAAGCAAACAAUUCAGAGCUUUGAAGAGUGUGCACUAAGUUUUCCUCCUCUUCAGAGGUUCUCUGCUAGUCUUGGUGAGGAGCUGAUGUCACCGUGAAGGGAUUUAGUGCUUUUCUAGCUAUGAGAAGAUACAAGGAUUGGGCUCAUAAAAUUAGUUCCUGAAAAUGCCUAUCUAAAGACCUGUUCGGCCUUGAAGGUCCCUGCUCCUUUCUCCUUGGAAUAGAUUUUGUUUGCGUCCUCCAAGAGUCUCUGUUUCCCUCAGUCCUGUGGAAGUUCUGUAAUGAAAUCCUGCUGACCUUCAGAGUCAGAUUCCCUGGGGAUUCUCAGUCCUUUUGCCAGAUCCCUGGAUUGGAAAGUCUUUUGUGGGGCCUAGAACUUUCGCAAGAGUGCGAGGACUUCUUUGGUGUGAUUGUUCUCCAGUUUUGGAUAGCCCACCUGGCGGGCCUGUUGUGGAGCUAAUGGCAACCUCCUCCAAGAGGACUAUUGCCUCCACCUGCUGCACCUCUCAGAAUCGCUGCAGCCAGAGCCCCUGUCCCCGCGGCAGGCCACUGCUGACCCGUGCCUCCACAGGAGACCCUCAAACACAGGCAGAUCUGGUUGAGUCUUUCGUGAGGGUCACUGCACCUUUCUCUGGGUCCUGGUGACCACAAGGUUUUGUUUGUGCCUGCCAAGCAUCUCUGGCGGGUAUGAAGUUUGAUUUUAAAUGUGAUUGUACCCCUCCUACUCUAACAGGAGGGAAAGGGGUAGGGCACAACUUUUGAAAGAAUGACAUAGCCCAAGGAUACAACAUAAACUGAUUAGAAUCAAAUGGGACUACGAUGGCAGGCAAGACUAGACCUUGAUCCUGAGUCAGCAAGUGAAAUGACACACCCAGAGGUGGCAUGACAGUUCCAAGGC
ensembl:lncRNA